rnacentral:rRNA from 1 species
UACGAAGGGGGCGAGCGUUGUUCGGAUUUACUGGGCGUAAAGGGCGCGCAGGCGGCUCAUUUUGUCAGGCGUGAAAGCCCCGGGCUUAACCUGGGAACUGCGUUUGAUACGGAUGGGCUAGAGUUCGGGAGAGGAGAGUGGAAUUCCCAGUGUAGAGGUGAAAUGCGCAGAUAUCGGGAAGAACACCUAUGGCGAAGGCAGCUCUUUGGGACGGUACUGACGCUGAGACGCGAAAGCGUGGGGAGCAAACAGG